rnacentral:tRNA from 1 species
GCCUUCGUGGUGUAGUGGUCAGCACGCUCGACGCGUAACCGAGAGGUCCGUGGUCGAAUCCCGGCGAAGGCG